GUUUGAUCAUGGCUCAGAGGCUGGCGGAUGCUUACAUGCAAGUCGAACGGCAGCACGGUGGCGAGUGGCGAACGGGUGAGUAAUGUAUUUGAAUGUGCCUAGUAGGGGGAUAACUACGCGAAAGCGUAGCUAAUACCGCAUACGCCCCUUCGGGGAAAGCGGUGACCUUCACCGCACGCUUUAACGCUUGCACCGCACAUCGCGGCUGCUGGCACGUAGUUAGCCGGUGCUUAUUCUGCAGGUACUGCACUGUAUUAUCCGCCGUUUUCCUCACAAAAGUGCUUUACAACCCGAAGGUUCACCACGCGGGAUGGGCUGACUGUGGCUUCCAUUGUCCAAAAUUCUUCACUGCCAGUUUCCCGUAGGAUGUCUGGGCCGUGUCUCAGUCCCAGUGUGGCUGGCUUCAAAACCAGCGCAUGGAUCGUCGCCCCAGGAGCCGUUACUCCCACCAACUAGCUAAUCCGAUCGGCCGUUUCAGUGCGAGCCUGAAGGUCCCCGCUUUCCCCGAAGGGCGCGUGGUAUUAGCCACGCUUUCGCGUAAGCACAUCUCUGCCAUUAGGUAUCGCUCCGAGCAUUACUCACCCGUUCGCCACUCGCCACCAGACCGAAGUCCGUGCUGCCGUUCGACUUGCAUGUGUAAAGCAUCCCGCCAGCGUUCAAUUCGGAGCCAUGACAAACC
rnacentral:misc_RNA from 1 species